rnacentral:misc_RNA from 1 species
UGGCUCUGGCAUCGAUGAAGAACGCAGCGAAAUGCGAUAAGUAGUGUGAAUUGCAGAAUUCAGUGAAUCAUCGAAUCUUUGAACGCACAUUGCGCCCCUUGGUAUUCCAUGGGGCAUGCCUGUUCGAGCGUCAUCUACACCCUCAAGCUCUGCUUGGUGUUGGGCGUCUGUCCCGCCCCCGCGCGUGGACUCGCCCCAAAUUCAUUGGCGGCGGCCUUUGCCUCCUCUCGCGCAGCACAUUGCGCUUCUCGGGGAGGCGCGGCCCGCGUCCAGCAAGCACAAACACCGUCUUUGACCUCGGAUCAGGUAGGGAUACCCGCUGA